UACGUAGGGACCAAGCGUUGUCCGGAAUCAUUGGGCGUAAAGAGCGUGUAGGCGGCUUGUUAAGUCUUGCGUGAAAUCUCGGGGCUCAACCCCGAGCGGUCGUGAGAAACUGGCAGGCUAGAGUGCGGGAGAGGAGAGUGGAAUUCCCAGUGUAGAGGUGAAAUUCGUAGAUAUUGGGAAGAACACCGGUGGCGAAGGCGGCUCUCUGGGACUGAUACUGACGCUGAGGCGCGAAAGCGUGGGGGAGCAAACAGG
rnacentral:rRNA from 1 species